GCUUACGGCCAUACCAGCCUGGGUACGCCCGAUCUCGUCUGAUCUCGGAAGCUAAGCAGUGUCGGGCCUGGUUAGUACUUGGAUGGGAGACCGCCUGGAAAUACCAGGUGCUGUAAGCA
rnacentral:rRNA from 1 species